CCCAGGACAUCGAUGCCAUUCUUGCUGCCAUUAUGGAGUACCGGGCUCUUAACAUUGUCCCAGCAAUCAUCUCCCCGAGGAACGUUCCCGCGAUUAAUCAGGCGAUGGAGGCUGACGACACAGGAAACUCCAUCUUCACGGUGCUGAGGAGGCCACAGGAGCCGGCUGCUGACCUGAGGAGGGUCAAGAACUGUGCCAUCUGUUAUGACCCCUGCAGGCGUGCACAGGAGUGCGCCUUCAUCCAGGAA